UGGAGACUACAGAACUAAAUUUCUAUUUUUUCAAAUGUGGAAAUAUUUCCAAUUAUGGCAGUAGCCGCAGUACCCUUUCACAGAAUAUUGGAAGCUUCAUCUGAGGUUAGCAAUAGCAAAAUAACCACAUUGUGCCAACACAUAUACAAAUCUUCACGUAUGUAUAACAAGGAUGAGAGAUCUGUUUUCACUGCUAGCAAUCGGUAAUUUUUCAAGGCUGCAGAGGUGUCUCCUCCGGUUGCUGCUGAUGAGAUGGCAGGGGAGACUCGAAAGAAUCAACAUUUUCUUUCGGAACCAGCCCAUAAUUUCAUUGAUCAAUUCUGAUAAUGAAAAAAUAUUAGAGGAGAAGAGUUGGCCAAUGCGAAGAGGACACGCCAGAACUCCAGAUUUGGAUGCUUCUCAUGGGACUGGAUUGUAUUCAGCUGUCGUAAAUCCGUUUAGAAUUUUAAAUGAAUAAAACAUAAAAGCAUGAAUUU